rnacentral:tRNA from 1 species
GCCGAGAUGGCGGAACGGCAGACGCGCUGCGUUCAGGGCGCAGUGGGUAAUAGACCCGUGAGGGUUCAAAUCCCUCUCUCGGCACCA